GGGAGGAUGAACAAAGAUUCUGGGAGGACAAACUAAGGGAGCUAGAGGAGACCGAGAGGCAUCUCCAAAAAAUGUUUUGUGGGGGGCACACGGGGAGUUGGGCAGAGUCAGGAUGGAGACCUGAGCCAACUCUCCGUGCUUAUUAUGGGGAGUGACGUAUCAAGAAAGCACCGAGCUAUGCAGAAAUGCGCACUGUAUUGCCCAGACGCAUUCAAAGGCCGGUGCGAUCGGUGAAAGCUCCUCAGCAUGGCCAGGCUAUGUUGAGCACUCAGCCAGGAAGGGUUGUGCAGGCCGUACGCUCCAGACCUCCAGUGCGUCUCCAGGGUCCUUUUCCUGCUCCUCGCACUAGCCCUGAGGUACGUGUUACUAGGCUGGCACCUCCAAAACCAGCCCCACACAUCAGGCCUCUAGUGCGCCUGCCCAGUCCAGUAUGUCCUGUUCCUGCUCCUCGCACUAGCCCUGAGGUGCGUGUCACUAGUCUGGCGCCUCCAAAGCCAGCCCCACGCAUCAGGCCUCUAGUGCGCCUGCCCAGUCCAGUACGUCCUGUUCCUGCUCCUCGCACUAGCCCUGAGGUGCGUGUCACUAGUCUGGCGCCUCCAAAGCCAGCCCCACGCAUCAGGCCUCUAGUGCGCCUGCCCAGUCCAGUACGUCCUGUUCCUGCUCCCCACACUCACCCUCCAGUGCGCCUCCAUAACCCAGUACAGCCUGUGCCUGCUGUGAGCACUCUGCCAUUAGUGCGUCCUGUUCCUGUUCCCCGCACUCACCCUCCAGUGCGCCUCCAUAACCCGGUACAGCCAGUGCCUGCUGUGAGCACUUGGCCUCCAGUGUCGCCCUCCAGUCCGGAGCUGCCAGAGUCGCCCUCCGGUCCGGAGCUGCCAGAGUCGCCCUCCGGUCCGGCGCUGCCAGAGUCGCCCUCCGGUCCGGCGCUGCCAGAGUCGCCCUCCGGUCCGGCGCUGCCAGAGUCGCCCUCCGACCCGGGGCCUACAGAGACAGCAUUCGACCCAGAGCCUACAGAAGUGGUAUGCAACCCAGAGUCUUCUGCGGGGGUGGGCAGGUUAGAUUGGGGACUAAGCCCGGAGCCAGAGCCAGCUCCGUAGGGGGAGUAUUG
rnacentral:lncRNA from 8 species